AAGAAUGAAGUGUAGGAGGAGAAGAAUGCCCAAAAAUCGCGAGAACCAUGUUUAAAUAACCCAUUUUUGACACAUCAGCGGAAAGUCGCGCCCAGCGCCCCCUUUUGGGGUGCCCGGGCGCCAUAAAAAUACAAAACAACGAAUCAAAGGGCGCCCAGCGCCCCCCAGGGGCGCCCAGGCGCCAAAUCUACAGAAAAUCAGCAGCCAGGGGCACCCCAGUGCCCUUUUGGGGGCGCCCAGGCGCCAUUUCUGCAGCCAGGGGCACCCCAGCCCCCUUCUGGGGGCGCCCAGGCGCCAUUUCUGCAGCUAGGGGGAGGUCUCGGUCAAGGUUAUUUGUAGGAACUUUGCAAAUUUAAUUCCCUUUUGGUAAAAGCACUUGGUCACAUGAAAUGGUAGAAUAUUUUACAUGUUUAAUUGAUUUUCAUUUAUUUUUAAUUUCGUCAUUGCAUUCUCAAAUAUUUUCAAAACCCCCCCCACUGUAUGUUUGACUUGAUGCUGAAUCGCAAAAUUGGUCUUUGGGAGACGACCUAGGGGUCAUUCCCUAGUUUAUACUACACUUUAAUUGCACAUCAAAUUUGAUUGGGCGGCGACACCCAUCAAAUUUUGGCGCCGUUGCCG
rnacentral:lncRNA from 1 species